rnacentral:rRNA from 1 species
GCCCACUGUAAUUAAAGGCUGCGGUACCCUGACCGUACUAAGGUAGCAUAAUAACUUGUCUAUUAAUUAUAGUCUAGAAUAAAUGGGUAAACGAGCGCAAAACUUUCUAAACCUGGAAACUAAAAAUUAACAUUUAAGUGAAAAUGCUUAUAUUUAAAUAAAGGACAAGAAGACCCUAUAGAGCUUAGCUUUUAAAGCAUACUAAGCCUACAAAGCUUUAGAUGGGGCGUCUAGAGACCAUAAAACACCUCUAAAAAAAAAA